rfam:Nesterenkonia sp. AN1 contig-19, whole genome shotgun sequence.
GCCUCCGUAGCUCAGGGGAUAGAGCGUUGGUUUCCGGUACCAAAAGUCGUGGGUUCGAUUCCCGCCGGGGGCA